UACGUAGGGUGCAAGCGUUACUCGGAAUUACUGGGCGUAAAGCGUGCGCAGGCGGUUAUGUAAGUCAGAUGUGAGAUCCCCGGGCUCAACCUGGGAACUGCAUUUGUGACUGCAUCGCUGGAGUGCGGCAGAGGGGGAUGGAAUUCCGCGUGUAGCAGUGAAAUGCGUAGAUAUGCGGAGGAACACCGAUGGCGAAGGCAAUCCCCUGGGCCUGCACUGACGCUCAUGCACGAAAGCGUGGGGAGCAAACAGG
rnacentral:rRNA from 1 species